rnacentral:lncRNA from 1 species
AACUACACAUGCAGAGAUCAUCCGUUCACCUACUCUGCAUCUCACAAAGACAUGGCGAUUGGAACCAAAAAUUGCAAAUUUGGACUCAUCAGACCAAAGAACAGAUUUCCACCGGUCUAAUGUCCAUUGCUCGUGUUUCUUGGCCCAAGCAAGUCUCUUCCUAUUGGUGUCCUUUAGUAGUGGUUUCUUUGCAGCAAUUUUACCAUGAAGGCCUGACUCACGCAGUCUCCUCUGAACAGUUGAUGUUGAGAUGUGUCUGUUACUUGAACUCUGUGAAGCAUUUAUUUGGGCUGCAAUCUGAGGUGCAGUUAACUCUAAUAACCGUAUCCUCUGCAGCAGAGGUAACUCUGGGUCUUCCUUUCCUGUGGCGGUCCUCACGAGAGCCAGUUUCAUCAGAGCGCUUGAUGGUUUUUGCAACUGCUCUUGAAGAAAUGUUAAAAGUUCUAGAAAUGUUCCCGAUUGACUGACCUUCAUGUCUUAAAGAAUUAUAGAUUUACAUCUCUUGAACGCAAUCAACUUGCCAGAUUUAAAAAUAACCUUACUGGGAAAUCACACUUUGCAAUAAUCUGAGCACUGCGCCCAGAAAAAUACGCGUUGCGAUACAGACUAGACGUCAUGUUGGGGAGAUCUAAAAUCGAAAAUACUAUGUAAAUAAUCCAUUACCUUUGAUUCUCUUCAUCAGAUGUCACUUCCAGGUAUCACAGGUCCAUAACGAAUGUAGUUUUGUUCAAAAAAGCUCAUCAUUUAUGUCCAAAAAUCUCCGUCUUGUUCGCACAUGAUCUAAGCCAGCCGGACUUCUCGUCAUGAACGAGGGGAAAAAAUAUAUUUCCGUUCGUUCAAACAUGUCAAACGUUGUAUAGCAUAAAUCAUUAGGGCCUUUUUUAACCAGAACAUGAAUAAUAUUCAAGGUGGACGAAUGCAUACUCUUUUAUAACGUAUUGGAACGAGGGUACCCAACAUGAACUCGCGCGCCAGGUGUCUAAUGGGACAUCAUCGUUCCAUGGCUCUUGUUCGGUCAGAUCUCCCUCCAGAAGACUCAAAACACUUUGUAAAGGCUGGUGACAUCUAGUGGAAGCAAUAGGAAGUGCCAAAAUAUUCCUAAACCCCUGUGUUUUUCAAUGGGAUAGGUUUAAAGUCAAUACAACACAUCAGGUAUCCACUUCCUGUCAGAAAAUGUCUCAGGGUUUUGCCUGCCAAAUGAGUUCUGUUAUACUCACAGACACCAUUCAAACAGUUUUAGAAACUUUAGAGUGUUUUCUAUCCAUAUAUAAUAAGUAUAUGCAUAUUCUAGUUACUGGGUAGGAUUAGUAACCAGAUUAAAUCGGGUACAUUUUUUUUAUCCAGACGUGCAAAUGCUGCCCCCUAGCCCUAACAGGUUAAGGUGAAUGCACCAAUUUGUAAGUCGCUCUGGAUAAGAGCGUCUGCUAAAUUACGUAAAUGUAAAUGUAAAAAAUCAAGGAAAACGCUAUGUCUGGCGCAAACCCCACACCUCUCAUCACCCCGAGAACACCAUCCCCACAGUGAAGCAUGGUGGAGGCAGCAUCAUGGUGUGGGGAUGUUUUCCAUCAGCAGUGACUGGGAAACUGGUCAGAAUUGAAGGAAUGAUGGAUGAUGCUAAAAAUAGGGAAAUUCCUGAGGGAAACCUGUUUCAGUCUUCCAAAGAUUUCAGACUGGGACGGAGGUUCACCUUCCAGCAGGACAUUGUCCCUAAGCAUACUGCUAAAGCAACACUUGAGUGGUUCAAGGGGAAACAUUUAAAUGUCUUGGAAUGGACUAGUCAAAGCCCAGACCUCAAUCCAAUUGAGAAUCUGUGGUAUGACUUAGAUUGCUGUACACCAGCGGAACCCAUCCAACUUGAAGGAGCUGGUACAGUUUUGCCUUGAAGAAUGGGCAGAAAUCCCAGUGGCUAGAUGUGCCAAGCUUAUAGAGACAUACACCAACAGACAUGCAGCUGUAAUUGCUGCAAAAGGUGGCUCUACAAAGUUUUGACUUUGGGGGGUGAAUAAUUAUGCACGCUCAAGUUUAGUGUUUCUUUGUCUUAUUUCUUGAUUGUCUCACAAUAAAAAUAUUUAGCAUCUUCAAAGUGGUAGGCAUGUUGUGUAAAUCAAAUGUUAGAAACCCCCAAAAAUCAAUUUCAAUUCCAGGAUAUAAGGCAACACGACAAGGGGUUGAAUACUUUCGCAAGCCACUAUACAUAGCAUAGCUUGUACAUAACCAAACAAUAUUUAUAUGUCAAGACAAAGGUAGUGGUGUGACUUCUCAGAAAUGUUCAUCUGUUUCCCAGAACUGCCUGUUGAGCUGUUGUUGAGCGGCUGGUAUCACCCUCCCCUCCCCCAUUAUCCCCCACACUGUUCCACCUCCGCUUCUGGGAGGAACCAGUCGGGGCCACAGAGCAGACUCCCUCAUCUCAUCCCACCAACUCUGUCAGUCCAGCAGGCCCCACAAUGCAGCCUCCACACCACUGCAGUAACAGCCACAUCUUCCCAUCACAAAGCUUCAGUACUAUCUCAAUGUGUUGAAUUACCAUCCAGGAUCCUGUGGCAACGUCAAUGUGAAACCGCAUUGACCCGUGAUCACCACCAACCAGGGCUCCACAGUGGUAUCCUUCGAUGCCCAGGCUUCGCUCAAGAUCAACUGAAGGAGAUUUGGAAGGAUCCCAGUGAGCAAAAUUGACAUUUUAUGUUGUUGUAUAUAUGUAUUUUCAACGUCUUUUGAUCAUAGGGAUGGCCUCCCCAGAGAGCACACCAGGCAGCAAACAGCACUGUGAUGUGAUUGGCUGGUCAGCAGGAAGUAUUAUCUGGCUAAACAGAAGGGAUGAUGGAUCUGACAGAGAACGUUUUUUAUGGAAUGAUGUCAGGUUAAUAUUGUCAAUAAAACAGGUGAAAUGUACAGAACGACUUGAUUGAUCAAUUAAUAACACACCAAACUGUUGUUUUAAUACAUGGAAGAAUUUGAUUAGUCAAGGUACAAUACACAAAAACAUUUAUGGAAUGACUAGACUAGUCAA